rnacentral:lncRNA from 1 species
GGAUAUGCCACCUGUUAUUGGCCUUAGCGUUCUUAUGUGUUGCAUGACUGUAUUGAGGUUUGAGGACAAGCCCUGCUAGAAAUAAACUGUUUAUUCUUUUUUGACUGCAUUAUGUUUAUAUCAUCCCAAGGGACUUUGCUCAAGUUUUUCCAGAUCUCCAUGCUCUGUGGAUGAAGACUUCCUUCAAGUUUUCUGGAGCCUGAGCUUAUGGACAUAAUGUCAUGAAAGCAGGAUAGUGCUGCACAUGUAUCUGCUUCUUACUGUGAGACCUUGGGCAAGUUAUCAAUACUCUGUGCCUCAGUGAUUAGCACAUGGCAAGUGUGCAAAUGCCAGGCAGUCCAGAAACCUUCACUGCACUCAGGUGAGAAACGCGAAAAGUUUUUCCUCAAGAUUUUCAAUAGAAGCAACAACUGGAAUAAACCAGACUUGUCAUGGAACAAUUUUCACCAUAUGGGGCCCUGAUGCCUCACUGAGCAGGACUGUCAGGCCUGAGAAAGAAGAGAAUGUCACCUGGGCUCUUCGGAGUUGUCAGAAAUAGAUAUUCAUCGAGGUUACCUCUAGCAAUGGAAAAUCAGCUGUGAGGCUACAUGUGGAAAUAAGAAAAACAUA